UGAACCUUUCCUAUGAACUAGGACAUGUAGCUGAUUGAUUGAUAUAUACACUGUUAUCAUCAAAUCUUUUUUGGCUGCGGGUAGUGAUUCUGAAAUCAGGCGUACCGAAUCCGCCGAUUGGUUUGAAUGCAAUUUCUAGAUCAUUGUCACAGAAAUAUGGCAAAAAAGAUACAGGUCUGGUCAUUGGAAAGCCUCAUGUGCCAAUUAUUAAAUUCGGUGAAAAGAAGAGUGGUCUUUCCUUUGAUAUAAGUUCUGACAUAGAGAAUGGACCUAAAGCUGCCGAGUAUAUUCAGGUUUGCUUUUAUUCUUCUCGGCAUUCAGGAUCCUCAGGUUCUCUUUAAUGAACUUCUUUUUUUUGGUCUUUGUAAAGUAAAUUUUUUAUUGUUG